rnacentral:rRNA from 1 species
AAUUCGAUUGAGUUUGAUCAUGGCUCAGGACGAACGCUGGCGGCGUGCUUAACACAUGCAAGUCAAGGGGGCCCAGCAAUGGGCAACCGGCGAACGGGUGCGUAACACGUGAGCAACCUUCCGAAAUAUGGGGGAUAGCCGGCCUAACGGCCGAGUAAUACCGCAUACGCUCUCGAUGAGGCAUUUCAUUGAGAGGAAACCUCCGGGGUAUUUCGAGGGGCUCGCGGCCUAUCAGCUAGUUGGCGAGGUAACGGCUCACCAAGGCAACGACGGGUAGCUGGUCUGAGAGGAUGGCCAGCCACAUUGGGACUGAGAUACAGCCCAGACUCCUACGGGAGGCAGCAGUGGGGAAUCUUGCGCAAUGGCCUAACGGCUGACGCAGCGACGCCGCGUGUAGGAUGAAGCUCUUCGGAGUGUAAACUACUGUUGCCCGGGACGAAUAGCUCGAUUAAUCGAGCCUGACAGUACCGGGUGAGGAAGCACCGGCUAACUCCGUGCCAGCAGCCGCGGUAAUACGGGGGGUGCGAGCGUUGUCCGGAAUCACUGGGCGUAAAGGGCGCGUAGGUGGUUUGAUAAGGGUGUGGUGAAAGUCCGGGGCUCAACCCCGGAUCUGCCGUGCCGACUGUCAAACUCGAGGACUGUAGAGGCAGACGGAAUUCCGGGUGUAGCGGUGGAAUGCGUAGAGAUCCGGANGAAGANCGGUGGCGAANGCGGUCUGCUGGGCAGUUUCUGACACUGAGGCGCGACAGCGUGGGGAGCAAACAGGAUUAGA